GAUGAACGCUGGCGGCGUGCCUAAUACAUGCAAGUCGAGCGAACAGACGAGGAGCUUGCUCCUCUGACGUUAGCGGCGGACGGGGGAGUAACACGUGGAUAACCUACCUAUAAGACUGGGAUAACUUCGGGAAACCGGAGCUAAUACCGGAUAAUAUAUUGAACCGCAUGGUUCAAUAGUGAAAGACGGUUUUGCUGUCACUUAUAGAUGGAUCCGCGCCGCAUGAGCUAGUUGGUAAGGUAACGGCUUACCAAGGCAACGAUGCGUAGCCGACCUGAGAGGGUGAUCGGCCACACUGGAACUGAGACACGGUCCAGACUCCUACGGGAGGCAGCAGUAGGGAAUCUUCCGCAAUGCGCGAAAGCCUGACGUAGCACCGACGCGUGAGUGAUGAAGGUCUUCGGAUCGUAAAACUCUGUUAUUAGGGAAGAACAAAUGUGUAAGUAACUAUGCACGUCUUGACGGUACCUAAUCAGAAAGCCACGGCUAACUACGUG
rnacentral:rRNA from 1 species